GAAGCGGUGGCUCAAUGGUAGAGCUUUCGACUCCAGUGUAAGCCGGUUAAUCGAAGGGUUGCAGGUUCAAUUCCUGUCCGUUUCA
rfam:Lipomyces starkeyi NRRL Y-11557 unplaced genomic scaffold LIPSTscaffold_11, whole genome shotgun sequence.